UACAGAGGUCUCAAGCGUUGUUCGGAUUCAUUGGGCGUAAAGGGUGUGUAGGUGGCGCCGUAAGUCGGGUGUGAAAUUUCGGAGCUUAACUCCGGAAACUGCAUUCGAUACUGCGGUGCUUGAGGACUGGAGAGGAGACUGGAAUUCAUGGUGUAGCAGUGAAAUGCGUAGAGAUCAUGAGGAAGACCAGUGGCGAAGGCGG
rnacentral:rRNA from 1 species